rnacentral:lncRNA from 1 species
AAGUUUAAAAUAUGAAUAAAGAGCAAGAGGCUAUUAAAAUGAUCAAUCAGAUUUGAAAAAUAACUAAAAGCAGUACUUCCAGAAUUUAGAAAACAGAGAAUGGCAUGAACCCGGGAGGUGGAGCUUGCAGUGAGCCAAGAUCAUGCCACUCCUUGCAGCGCUGCCUUUCGAUCCCUCCACAUCUCGGUGGCGCGGUACUUGUGGGGAACGUUUUCGUGUUUGGCUGCCUGUGCGCAUAGAUUUGCAAACUGACUUCCAUCCUCCAACUGCUUUUGCUGUUCCCUCUUGCACAGCGUUCCCAUGUUGUCUUUAACUUGGGG